rnacentral:rRNA from 1 species
UACGAAGGGGGCUAGCGUUGUUCGGAAUUACUGGGCGUAAAGCGCGCGUAGGCGGUGAUCUUUGUCAGAGGUGAAAGCCUGGGGCUCAACUCCAGAAUUGCCUUUGAAACGGGAUCGCUUGAGUCCGAGAGAGGAUGGCGGAAUUCCUAGUGUAGAGGUGAAAUUCGUAGAUAUUAGGAAGAACACCGGUGGCGAAGGCGGCCAUCUGGCUCGGUACUGACGCUCAGGCGCGAAAGCGUGG